CGCGGUGGUCCCACCUGACCCCAUGCCGAACUCAGAAGUGAAACGCCGUAGCGCCGAUGGUAGUGUGGGGUCUCCCCAUGCGAGAGUAGGACACUGCCAAGC
rnacentral:rRNA from 2 species